UACGGAGGGGGCUAGCGUUGUUCGGAAUUACUGGGCGUAAAGCGCACGUAGGCGGACCAUCAAGUCGGGGGUGAAAUCCCGGGGCUCAACCCCGGAACUGCCUCCGAGACUGCUGGUCUGGAGGUCGAGAGAGGUGAGUGGAAUUCCGAGUGUAGAGGUGAAAUUCGUAGAUAUUCGCAAGAACACCAGUGGCGAAGGCGGCUCACUGGCCCGAUACUGACGCUGAGGUGCGAAAGCGUGGGGAGCAAACAGG
rnacentral:rRNA from 1 species